GAUUGACGCUGGCGGUAUGCUUAACACAUGCAAGUCGAACUCCAGCACACAGAGAGCUUGCUCUCUUGGUGGCGAGUGGCGGACGGGUGAGUAACGCGUAAGAAUCUGCCUAUUAGUGGGGGAUAACUCGGGGAAACUCGAGCUAAUACCGCAUACGCCCUACGGGGGAAAGUGGGGGACCUUCGGGCCUCACGCUAUUAGAUGAGCUUGCGUUGGAUUAGCUAGUUGGUAGGGUAAUGGCCUACCAAGGCGACGAUCCAUAGCUGGUCUGAGAGGACGAUCAGCCACACUGGGACUGAGACACGGCCCAGACUCCUACGGGAGGCAGCAGUGGGGAAUAUUGGACAAUGGGCGCAAGCCUGAUCCAGCAAUACCGCGUGUGUGAAGAAGGCCUGCGGGUUGUAAAGCACUUUCAAUUGUGAAGAAAAGCGGAAGGUUAAUAACCUUUUGUCUUGACGUUAACUUUAGAAGAAGCACCGGCUAACUCUGUGCCAGCAGCCGCGGUAAUACAAGCCGAAUUCCAG
rnacentral:rRNA from 1 species